GCGGGGGUAGUGGGACCGCGACGGUGGCCGACCGGCCGUCGGACGGUAGUUCUGACGAAUCGCGCACGCGUUCUACACGCGUCCGGCCCGACGCAAGUCAACGUCGUAUCAUACGUCUACGCCAUAGUGCGGACGUGUGUGCGGCGCGUCUGGUGUCGCAGCCGUGCUGUCUCGGACUGUGCGCGUCUCUGUCUGCGAUGAU
rnacentral:rRNA from 1 species